rnacentral:tRNA from 1 species
CGGGUGUUGAUGUAACCUGGUAGCAUGAGUGAUUUGGAUUCACUUCGUCGGGGUUCAAAUCCCCGGCACCCGACCA